rnacentral:rRNA from 1 species
GAUGAACGCUGGCGGCGUGCCUAAUACAUGCAAGUCGAACGAAGAUCUAGCUUGCUAGAUCUUAGUGGCGAACGGGCGAGUAAUACAUAAAUAAUCUGCCCAUAUGACUGGGAUAACUAUUGGAAACGAUAGCUAAUACCGGAUAGGUUGAUCGGAGGCAUCUCUGAUGAAUCAAAGUAGGAUUUCUACACAAAUGGAUGAGUUUAUGGCUCAUUAGUUAGUUGGUGGGGUAACGGCCUACCAAGACGAUGAGGCGUAGCCGACCUGAGAGGGUGACCGGCCAAACUGGGACUGAGACACGGCCCAGACUCCUACGGGAGGCAGCAGUAGGGAAUUUUCGGCAAUGGGCGCAAGCCUGACCGAGCAACGCCGCGUGAGUGAUUAAGGCCUUCGGGUUGUAAAGCUCUGUUGUAAGGGAAGAACAUUCAGGAUAGGAAAUGAUCUUGAACUGACGGUACCUUACCAGUAAGCCACGGCUAACUACGUGCCAGCCGCCGCCGUAA